rnacentral:rRNA from 1 species
CCUACACAUGCAAGUCGAACGGUAACAUUUCCAGCUUGCUGGAAGAUGACGAGUGGCGGACGGGUGAGUAAUGUAUAGGGAUCUGCCUGGUAGUGGGGGACAACGUGUGGAAACGCACGCUAAUACCGCAUACGCUCUACGGGGGAAAGCGGGGGCUCUUCGGACCUCGUGCUAUCAGAUGAACCUAUAUCAGAUUAGCUAGUUGGUAAGGUAACGGCUUACCAAGGCGACGAUCUGUAGCUGGUUUGAGAGAAUGAUCAGCCACACUGGGACUGAGACACGGCCCAGACUCCUACGGGAGGCAGCAGUGGGGAAUAUUGCACAAUGGAGGCAACUCUGAUGCAGCAAUGCCGCGUGUGUGAAGAAGGCCUUAGGGUUGUAAAGCACUUUCAAUAGGGAGGAAAAGCUGUAGGUUAAUACCCUGCAGCCGUGACGUUACCUAUAGAAGAAGGACCGGCUAACUCCGUGCCAGCAGCCGCGGUAAUACGGAGGGUCCGAGCGUUAAUCGGAAUUACUGGGCGUAAAGCGCGCGUAGGCGGAUAUAUAAGUCAGAUGUGAAAUCCCCGGGCUCAACCUGGGAACUGCAUUUGAAACUGUAUAUCUAGAGUGUGGUAGAGGUGAGUGGAAUUUCAGGUGUAGCGGUGAAAUGCGUAGAGAUCUGAAGGAACAUCAGUGGCGAAGGCGACUCACUGGGCCAUUACUGACGCUGAGGUGCGAAAGCGUGGGUAGCAAACAGGAUUAGAUACCCUGGUAGUCCACGCCCUAAACGAUGUCAACUAGGUGUGUGAAGAUAUAUUCUUUGCGUAUCGAAGCUAACGCGAUAAGUUGACCGCCUGGGGAGUACGGCCGCAAGGCUAAAACUCAAAUGAAUUGACGGGGGCCCGCAC